GUAGGUGGCAAGCGUUGUCCGGAAUUAUUGGGCGUAAAGCGCGCGCAGGCGGUUCUCUAAGUCUGGUGUGAAAGCCCACGGCUCAACCGUGGAGGGUCAUUGGAAACUGGAGAACUUGAGUACAGAAGAGGAAAGCGGAAUUCCACGUGUAGCGGUGAAAUGCGUAGAGAUGUGGAGGAACACCAGUGGCGAAGGCGGCUUUCUGGUCUGUAACUGACGCUGAGGCGCGAAAGCGUGGGGAGCAAACAGGGAUUAGAUACCCUGGUAGUCCACGCCGUAAACGAUGAGUGCUAAGUGUUAGGGGGUUUCCGCCCCCUUAGUGCUGCAGCUAACGCAUUAAGCACUCCGCCUGGGGAGUACGGCCGCAAGGCUG
rnacentral:rRNA from 1 species